GUUGGUUCUGGUUUGGUUCCCUGCUGUUCUGAUCCGCUCUUCUUCUUCACAGGUUCGGUAUAUGGAUUUUCGUCCCUCUUCUUCGUCUCCGGGAAAGCCUCUGCGAUCGUGCUGGAGUUCGCCGCUUUCAGUGGUGGACUCGCACUCGAAUUGCAGAGCAACGAUUCAAUGAUGAUGAUUCCUUGGCGAAUCUCUGAGAAUCGUGGAAAAUUCAAUGAAUUUCUUGAUGAUUUUGUGAUUCUGGUGAUUUAGGGUUUUUGAUUUUUCUCUGUGUUCUUGAUGAUUUCUCUGUGAUUCUGGUUUUGAUCUAACUGACAAGAGAGAGAAAAAUUGAUUCUGUUUUUCUUCUUUGGUGAAGUGGCGUGUGAUUAAUUGCUUUGAAUCUGACUCACUGUUUAUAUAGUUGACAUGUGUACACUUGAGCCAAUGGAUUUGUGACAUCUGGACAUGGAGAAAAAUGGCACGGCCUUGUAAUUUUGGACCUUGAGGACCUCCCUGCAAUUUUGUAAAAUAUAGGACUGGACUGCAAUUUUAAAAACAGAACUAAAAAAAUA
rnacentral:lncRNA from 1 species